rnacentral:rRNA from 1 species
GUGGAUUAGAUACCCUGGUAGUCCACGCUGUAAACGAUGUCGAUUUGGAGGUUGUGCCCUUGAGGCGUGGCUUCCGGAGCUAACGCGUUAAAUCGACCGCCUGGGGAGUACGGCCGCAAGGUUAAAACUCAAAUGAAUUGACGGGGGCCCGCACAAGCGGUGGAGCAUGUGGUUUAAUUCGAUGCAACGCGAAGAACCUUACCUACUCUUGACAUCCAGAGAAUUUGGCAGAGAUGCCUUAGUGCCGUCGGGAACUCUGAGACAGGUGCUGCAUGGCUGUCGUCAACU